GGAGAGGUAUCGAAGCGGUCAUAACGAGGCGGUCUUGAAAACCGUUUGCCCGCAAGGGCGCGUGGGUUCGAAUCCCACCCUCUCCG
rnacentral:tRNA from 1 species